AGAUCUUUUCUCAUAUCAAAUAUCAGUCUGAACGCUGAACCCUCAACAGUGGUGAUGCUUAAAAGGCUGACAUUAGCUUAUCCUGACUGCAGUUACCAGGCCCAGGAAAUCCAGCAGGCAGAAGGAGCUGAAAAGGCUGCGAGAUGUUUGGAAUUUUUUAAAAGGAACUCUGAGAAUGCACUGUUUUCUUCAUGGACAUCAUUCUGGGAAUCUCUCUAGAUAGAGGAGGAAGCAGCACAAAGAGUUACAAUGAGAUUAAGCUGAUCUCACACCUCUCUCUCAGUCAUCAUAGAGUCAUACAGCAUGGAAACAAAACCUUUGGUCCAACCAGUCCAUAUCGACCAUUAUCCCAAACUAAACCAGGCCCAUCUGCAUGCGUU